UGAAUUUUCGGGAUUUAAGUUGUUGUUUUCUUAAAUAUUGCUUAAUUUAUUAACGAAAACAUUUUAAUAAGAUGUACAGUAACGUUUAAAGCUGCUACCAAAGUAAAAUAACAAAGUGAGAUGUAUUCUCCUCGACAAAAGAUUGUGUGGUUCGCCUUCAGCACCAGGAUUGUAGUGCUGCUUCUGCAAGCUUUAUUUAACAAUCUUAUUCCGGAUCAUGAUGCCAAUGUUUUCAUCAGUCCUGAAGACCCAACACUUCGCAAAACAUUUGCCGAUAUAGUAGUAGAUAAAGUUCUCGGUGGGCUAAAACGAUGGGAUGCUCAGUAUUUCAUACACAUCGCACAGUAUGGAUAUACCUAUGAAAAUUGUUUAGCAUUUUUUCCACUAUUCCCCAUGAUUGUAAGAUAUGUAGCCUAUGGCCUGUGUAGUUUGUUUGGGUCCUUGUUAAAUUAUCACAGUACAUUGAUGAUAUCAGCAACAGUUUUAAAUCUGUUAAUGUUUGUAAAAUCUGCAGAUAUUUUACAUAGAAUAAGUUUGAGAAUACUUAGAAGUGAAUGUAAAGCAUAUAAAUCUGCUAUAUUGUACUGUGUUAAUCCAGCAAGUAUAUUUUUUACUGCACCUUACUCUGAAACACUGUUUGCUUUGAUGACAUUUUAUGUAAUGCUGAAAUGUACUGAAAAUGAAACAUUAAGAUUUGCCAACAUUGAUAUUAGUAGUGGCUUGCCGACAGGCUUUUCCAUGAUCACUAGGUCCAAUGGUUUAGUUAAUUUAGGAUUCAUAUUUUAUACAAGUUUCAAAAAUGUCAUAGAGAGGACUCUGCCUGAAAUUGCCUAUAAAUAUAGAACCUUGAAACAUAGAAUAAUUCUCCCAUUUCUGUUGUUACCGUUGCUUACAACUAGUGUAGCAUUAUUUUUGACUGUGAUAAUUGCUAUACUGCCAUUCCUGUUGGUUCAGACUUACAACUACUUCAAGUAUUGUGUUCAUAGUGAUCACAACCUACCAGAGUUUCUGUUCAACUCUGAAUAUGUUUUGCCGGGGAGUGCAGAGAGUCCUUGGUGCAAUUACUCCUUACCCCUGUCUUACUCUUAUGUGCAAAGCCAUUACUGGGAUGUUGGAUUUUUUAAAUAUUACCAAUUGAAGCAAAUACCCAAUUUCAUGUUAGCUUUCCCUAUUUUGUUUCUAAUAACUUACAAUUGUAUGUCAUAUUUAAGUAACAAUUUUAGACUAUGUUUAAGACUUGGAAUAAAAUCAAAUAUAUUUGGAUAUGGAAACAGGAUGCCUUAUAGGCCAAAACAAUACUGCAAAGGUUUUGGGGCCAAUGAUCCUACCUUGUUUGUAUAUGUAGUUCAUAUAAUGUUUUUGAGCAUUUUCUGUAUUAUAUUUAUACAUAUUCAAGUGUCAACAAGAUUAUUAGCAUCAGCUAGUCCAAUUUUGUAUUGGAUCUGUUCAAGUAGAAUGAAUGUUGGUCCAACACCAACUUCAGACCAAAAUACUAUUAAUGAACAUUUUCGGCGUCUUGGAAUCGGGAAAAGGAUUCCAUCUCACCAUCUCUCAAUAGCCAAUUUAGAGGGUGUUGACAAUAUGUAUAGCAAAUGGAAAACAUUCAUAAUAUCUAGAAGGAUGCCUGAUUUUCAAUCGCGCUUAAUACAAUAUUACUUUAUUGGAUAUUUUGUAAUAGGCACAGUACUAUUUUCAAAUUUCUAUCCGUGGACUUGAAGUGAUGUCGUCAUAACAAAACAUAUCAAACAGACGUAUCCAUAACAAAUAUUCAUAAAAGUUAAUUAACUAGGUAGCAAUAGAAACUACUGUGGUAGGAGGUUGAACUUUCGCUUUUAUUAAGAGUAGGCGCACACCGUUGAUUUUUCGUCGGCCGAUAGUUUAGUCGGACUGUUGAUCAGUAUGGGCAUGUAUGGGAGUGCGCACACUACACCGAUUCGAUUUGGCCGAUUCUUCAUACAAUUUGAAAUCGGGCACAACUAUCGGCCAACUAAAAAUCAACGGUGUGCGCCUACUCUAAAGGAUCGUGAUAUGAACAGAAACAAACUAUUAAAGGUAUAGAUUUUGGUCUGUGAUUGGUCGAAACUAGGCUAUUUACUAGAUUGAAAUCUAUUCAUAGCUUGAUUCGAGUUUUACCCUCUAUAAUAGUGAUAUUGUGAAGACAGUACCUAAGUACAUACCUAAUUUAUUUGAUUUUCUAUUAUAUGAAGUAUUAUUCCACAUAUCACGUGCUAUAGCUACUGCUGUUCAUUAUUCUUUAGGACAUGCCAUUUUAUCUUAACCAAAAUUAAAUUUGAAUGAAGUAGGGUAGUAUGAUAGCAUGCAUGCAAUGCACUCUGUAUUUGUGGCAAUACACACAGUUUGAGCCACUGUAAAAGCCAUUUUUAAUGUACAAAUUAAUGCAGUUAAAAAAGUAAGUUUUUAAAGUUAUGAAUAUUGAUAAUAAUGUGCCUGUACACAGUUAAUUAUGGAAUCUUUGGCGAUCAGAUGAAAUUGGCUCAUUUCAUAGCACCUACCUACCUAAAAAUAAGUAUUGUAAGUUUCUUCUGCUUGAAGUUAAUAAAGAAUGGGGCCUUUCAGAGUUAGUCCAUUUAUAUUCUAGUUAUAAAGAUUGCCUUUUAAAGAUAUUCUAGUCAUAAAUUGAAAUUCUAAAUAAUAUAUUACGACAUUGGUAAAAAAAAAUUGCGGACUUAAGACCUUUAUUAUUUUAAAUAAAUUAACGGUCUUAAAGCGUCUGUAUCACUUUGCAAUACUACCCUUUAAGUGGA